rnacentral:lncRNA from 1 species
UAUCAUGUAUCAUUAUCAAUUAUCAAUUUACUUAUUUCACUAUUACAAUCACAAUCCAAUAUAACACACUUAAGACAUCCUAGAUAUAUGCCAUUACCAAUAAUUAACAUGCUUUACCUUUUUGAGCUUCAGGAUCGACUUAUGAUGCUAAUUCGACGACCUGUCUUUAACCUAACCUGUGCACGAAAACAAACCGUACGCUGAGUAUGAAUUCAGUGAUAUUUCUAUAAACCGAUACUUAAGUCAAUAAUAAAUCAUAUAUCAAUGAACCUUGAGAAUUCAAUCUAUUACUCCUAAUAGUUCAAUCAUUUGUUUUUGAUAUAUAAUGCUAAGAUCAUGUUAAUCACUUUCGAUGAAAUGUAUACAGUUUCAAUGUUUAUUCAUUAUCCGUCGAUUUUUCAUAUUUAUUCAGUAAUAACCUGUGAUUAGUAUCAUUCAGACAUUCAGUAGCAGUCCAUUAUUCAGUAACAAUUAGUUUUUCAGUACUUUUAUUUACAAUUCAUUUGAGUAAUAAUAUUAUUCAGCUUUCAUUCAAUAUUCUGUACCAUCUCAUUUCAAUAACAGUCAAUAUUCAAUAGCAGACAGACUUUAAUACUUUUCAUUACCCCUAUUAACAUGACUCGGACCUAGACGGAUACACGGAUCCAACUCACACACCGAGGAUAGUAUACAGUGUUUCAUCAGCCGAAGCCAAAAUACACCGUAAGGGUAGCAAUAACAGUAACAGUAACAGUAGCGGUACACAAAGUACCUCAUCAGAACAAAUUUGGAACAGUAACAGUAACAGUCAAAUACGGAGUACCUCUUCGGAACGAAUCCGGAACAGUCAUAGUAGUCGACAUAUAUAGUGUCUCAUCGACACACAGUCAGAAUAUCCCUGAACACUUCCAAUCCUAUGACAUGCCAACUAUAUCCGACUAGCCUGAUACAAUUAAUAGGGUAUUCAAUAAACUUUCAAAUUUUCAAUUUUAUUUGUAAUUUAAUUUCAAUUCAAUUUAAUACAUUUUUCCAUAUCAAUCCACAUGCAAAUCAAUUUCAAUGCAAUAUACAUUUUUCAGUUUUCCACUCAAUAUUCACAUAUUCUAUUCAAUAUCAAUAAUCACUAAUAAUUCAUAAAUUUUUUAUUCAAUUCAAUAUCAUAAUAAUAAUACUUACCAUUCAUAUAAAUAAUAAAUUCAACAAAUAAUUAUUAGAUUUGGUUUAUAAAAAUACAAACCGUAGUUUUCAAGCUAACUCCUGUUGUCUUUGUCUUGUCCUUACUUAGUCGAGAUUUCCCGAGAUAACGUUAGCUACGAAAAUUAAAAUAAUUAUACCAUUAACUUUCAGCACUCAUUAUAACAAUUAAUUGAAUUUCUAUUCAAUUUACACCUUAUUUCCAAUUUAGGUCCUAACUAAUUCAUUCACUUUACUAACUUAAUUCAUUCUCCAUUUCUAUUCAAAUUCCAUCCAAACUCAAAUUUAAUUAUUAAAUUUUCACCUUAUCUCAUUAAUUUCGAAAUUUCCUCAAAUUAACCCCUACAACAUAAAACUUAUGAAUUACUUAACAAUUCAAUCCUUAUUUCAUUUCUAACUUGAAUUUCUAUCAAUUUAGCCCUUAAUUCAUCAUUUUAUUUAACAUAAACAAUAUUUAGAAAUCUAAUAAUUUUAAAAAUCUUAAUUUAAUUUCAUCAAAACUUUGUUCCAAAGCUUCUAAAACAUUAAAAUUAAGUAAAAAUGGCUAAAUUGACUUACCUAUUAAACUUCCAAGCUUCAAAAUCCCUAUUUUCCAUUUUUUCCUUUCUUUUUCUCCUUCCUUUCUUCUCUAUUUCUUUCUAUUCUUUUUCUUUUUCUUUUACUUUGUUCUAUUUUAUAUAUAAUAAUAAUAAUAAUAACUUACAUAAUAAGUAAAUAUACAUGUAUUUUACAAAUGUAGAUAUACUAAUAUUACACAUGUCACUAUACAUACCAUACAUUUGUCAACUUUUUAUUUAUUUUUCACAUAAAAAUCUUAUAAUAUAAUUAUUUAAUUAAUAAAUAUAUUUUAUAAAUAAUAAAUAUAUAUUAAUACUUAAAUACAAGCAUUACAAGUGUAUGUAUUUUUAUUAAUACACUUGUACCCAAUCAUUACCACACAUUUGUCUUACUUUUAUUUAUUUAUCAUAUAAUAUCAAUUUAAUAAUAAUAAAUACAUUAAUAUUUACUUAAAUAAUAAGCAAAUACAUACAUAUAUUACAAAUGUGUGUAUUAUAUUUAUUACACUUGUAGACACUUGGCACUCUUUUUGGCUUAUUUACUCAUUUAGUCCCUUCAAUUUUUUUAUUCUAUAAUUAAACUUUCACACUAUAUUCAAUUUAAUCCUUUUAUCCAAUUAUCCUUAAUUUAAGCUAAUUCACUUAAUUAAACUCUAAUUAAUCACUCAAUUAACUUCGUAAAUAUUUAUUACGAAUCCAUUUUUUAGAAACGGAGACCUGAAAAUAUACUUUUCCGGUAACGGUAAAAUUCAGGUCAUUACAUCAUUGAUGUGAAGAUAGAAUUAAAUUGGGAGAUGGAAAAGGAAGAGAUGUACUGGGAGCAGAGGGCGAGAUCGAAUUAGCUUAGCUAAGGGGACAGAAAUACGGCUUUCUUCCAUAGUCAAGCGUCCCAAAGAUGCAGAAUAAAUCGUAUCCGAGGGAUGGAGGAUAAAGAAGGUAUUCUCAAAACGGAAAGAAGAAGAUAUGGAAAUCAUAAUAAGGAGCUACUUUAUGAAGCUAUUCGAAUCUAAAGGAGUUGGUAAUACAAAUCACCUACUCUUAGGUUUUCGCUGCAGUAUUUCUGACAGUAUGGAUCAAAUGCUGGCUAAAGAUUAUAAAGAGGAGGAAAUUUUUGAAGCAAUAAAUAGUAUAGGGUCGACAAAAGCUUCUAGACUUGAUGGAUUUUCUGCAAUCUUCAUUGAAAAAUUUUGGCAUAUUAUAGGGAGGGAGGUAAGUGAUUUUUGCUUGGAAGUUCUUAAUAAAGGAAAAUCUCUUGAUCUUUUAAACCAUACGAAUAUCGUGCUAAUCCUAAAGAAUCCCACCCAAAAAGCCCAUCAGAAUUUAGACCAAUUAGCAUUUGCUCCGUCUUUUAUAAAAUAAUUUCAAAAUCUAUAGCAAACAGACUACAGAAAGUACUUGAUUUUUGCAUCGAUCCAGCUUAAAGCGCCUUUGUAUCGGGUGGAUUAAUUACAAAUAAUGUUCUUCUUGCAUAUGAAAUUCUACAAUCUAUGAAGAAUAAAAGGAUGGGGAAAAAAGGUCUGAUGGCUCUUAAGAUUGAUAUGAGCAAAGCCUAUGAUCGGGUGGAAUGGAAUUUCUUGGAACAAAUGAUGGCUAAAAUGGGAUUUUAUGAGUCUUGAAUUUAGCUUAUUAUGAGAUGCAUCAGUACGGUUUCGUAUUCAAUCAUUUUGAAUGGAAAGUCAGGGGAAGUGUUUCGUCCAGAGAGAGGCCUACAUCAAGGGGACCCUUUGAGUCCUUUUCUGUUCCUUAUAUACAGUGAGGGACUGUCUACAUUAUUAAGACUUGCAAGCGAGGAAGGAAUGCUGAAAGGAAUAAAGGCGAGUAGACGAGGCCCUCAGAUUACUCGCCUUCUUUUUGUAGAUGAUUGCGUGCUGUUUGGGGAAGCAAAUGAAAAAGGUGCAAAAACUUUUGGAAAGAUCUUAAAAGAGUACGAAGCCUGUUCGGGACAAUCCAUUAAUUAUGGAAAGUCAACAGUUUUCUUUAGCUCAAACACAACUGAAAUGAUUUGUUUAGCUAUCUCAAAUAAAUUGAGGGUGAAACGAACGAAUAACACAGAAAAAUAUCUGGGCUUGCCAAAUAUGGUGGGAAAGAGGAAAAGGUUAGCAUUCCAACACCUUAAAGAUCGAAUUAAAGCAAAAAUUAACUGUAGGAGUUCUCAAUUACUAUUGCAAGGGGAAAAGAAGUUUUCAUUAAAUCUGUGCUACAAGCAAUUCCAGCAUAUACAAUGGGAUGUUUUUUAUUACCGAAGUCAGUAUGCGUUGAUAUGGAACAAAUUAUAGCCAAGCAUUGGUGGUAAAAAGGGUUCGGGAGAAGGGGGAUACAUUGGUAGUCAUGGAAUAACUUAUGUGAAUUAAAUGAAUUCAGUGGUCUUGGUUAUUGUAAUUUUGCAAAUUUUAAUUUAGCCCUCUUCGCUAAGCAAGGAUGGCGAUUAAUUGAAAACCCCAAUUCUCUUUUAGCACAGAUGUUAAAGGCCAAAUAUUAUUUGAAUACUGAUUUUCUAAACUCAAAGCUAGGAAACUUACCUUCAUAUACUUGGAAAAUUAUAUGGGCUGCAAAAGGCCUUUUGCGGACUGGAUUAUGUUGGAGGGUGGGAAACGGCCGAAAUAUAAGUAUUGAAGAGGAUGUCUGGGCUCCGAAGGAUGAAAAUCUACAUAUUCAAAAAAUAGUAAGAAAUCAGAAUUUAUUGAAGGUAGCAGACCUAAUUGAUAGCAAUGCUAGAUCAUGGAAAACAGAGUUGAUUACAGAUACCUUUUCCGUAGAAGAUGCUCAGAGAAUACUCCAAAUCCCGCUUGCUCACUCCCGAUAGGACAACUUUAUGGCUUGGAGAGGCGAACCAACAGGCGAAUAUACAGUCCAAAGUGGGUACAGAUUACUCUUUCGAGGCAAUUCCAUCAAUAAUAAUAGAUACAAGCCAAAUGAAAACAGGAAAUGUUGCAAAAAAAUGUGGAAUAGUGACCUCCCCUCAAAAUUAAAAAUUAGAGCCUGGAGAGCCACUCUAAACUACCUUCCUACACUAUCAAAUCUACGCAUUAAAAGACUAGCUAAUGACGCCGUCUGCCCGAGAUGUCAGCAAGGUGUGGAGAAUAUGGAUCACGUCUUUCGAGAAUGCGCUACUUCAAGGGAAACAUGGAAUAGCUUAAAAUAUGACUGGCCUGAAAGAAUAGCAAAUCUGAAAUUUAUGGAAUGGUUUACUUGGAUCAUGCUAAGCAGCAGUACUGAUAUCUGUCGAUCAUUUCUAUGCACCAUUUGGGUUAUCUAGUCGGCUAGAAACAAAUGGAUUCACGAGGGUAAGAAAAUGUCAGGGACAGAGACGGCAAGAUUCAGCUUACAGUACUUACAAGAACUAAAUAACAUUAAAUGGGAAAAACUUGCCUUUAGCCCGAUAAGUGCAGAAUGGAGGCCUCCGAUUCAAGGUAUCUACAAAAUCAAUUUCGAUGCAGCAGUGGACCUUAAAACACAAAGGUCAUGUUCGGGACUCAUAGUCAGAGACUGGAAAGGGAAAAUCCUAGCCACAAAAACCAUAAAUCAUGAGAAUAUACCUUCGAGGUUUGCAGCCGAGUCUGUUGCAUGUUUACAGGCAGUUAUCUUAGGAAGGGAUCUAGGAUUAAAGUUUGUUGACAUUGAAGGGGAUUUUUUGACAGUGAUAAAAAAAGCUCAAACUAAGAGCAUAGACAAGUCGGUAAUCGGCGUAGACAUUCAAGACAUUCAAGAAAUGUGCAAGAUUUUCUAUGAAAGUAAGUUCAUUUAUGUACGAAGAAAAGCAAACGAACAAGCGCAUGAUCCGGUAUCAAAAGGCUUAAAAAUGGUAGAAAAGACUUACAUUAUUCACAGACCAGUUGCUGAGGGCGUCACAGAGGUAGAAAUUGAUCGAGGAUGGGGGUGAAGAAUUCCAACAGGUGGAUGAUUUAGAGAAGGAACCCUAAUGAAUACCAGUCUUUUGUCCUUCUCCAAGAGCUGUAAAUGAAAAUGAAGAUAUUUUAAGAAGAUUUUUAGGAAAUAACAGCUCAUUAAUGUUGGGUUGUCUUUUCAUGUCUUUUAUUAUUUUUGUUUUGCAAAGAGUGGCAGGCCCUUCG